rnacentral:rRNA from 1 species
AGCAGCCGCGGUAAUUCCAGCUCCAAUAGCGUAUAUUAAAGUUGUUGCAGUUAAAAAGCUCGUAGUUGAAUUUCGGGAUUAGUACGUUGGUCGUGCCUUCGGUACGUACUGGUGUUACUGAUUCCUACCUUCUGACGAACCAUCAUGUCAUUAAUUUGGUGUGGUGGGGAAUCAGGACUGUUACUUUGAAAAAUUAGAGUGUUUAAAGCAGGCUCGCGCUUGAAUACAUUAGCAUGGAAUAAUGAAAUAGGACGUUGACCCUAUUUUGUUGGUUUCUAGGAUUGACGUAAUGAUUAAUAGGGAUAGUUGGGGGCAUUAGUAUUCAAUUGUCAGAGGUGAAAUUCUUGGAUUUAUUGAAGACUAACUACUGCGAAAGCAUUUGCCAAGGAUGUUUUCAUUAAUCAAGAACGAAAGUUAGGGGAUCGAAGACGAUCAGAUACCGUCGUAGUCUUAACCAUAAACUAUGCCGACUAGGGAUCGGAUGAUGUUAUUUUUAAUGACUCAUUCGG